CCCUUAGAUGUUCUGGGCCGCACGCGUGCUACACUGACCGGUGCAACAAGUUUCUUUCCUUGGCUCGAUAGGCCUGGGUAAUCUUUGAACACCGGUCGUGAUGGGGAUAGAUCCUUGCAAUUUUUGAUCUUCAACGAGGAAUUCCUAGUAAAUGCGAGUCAUCAUCUCGCGUUGAUUACGUCCCUGCCCUUUGUACACACCGCCCGUCGCUACUACCGAUUGAACGUUUUAGUGAGGUAUUUGGACUGGACCUUCGGAGGUUCGCGCCUCCGUUGCUGUUCGGGAAGACUCCCAAACUUGAGCGUUUAGAGGAAGUAAAAGUCGUAACA
rnacentral:rRNA from 1 species